rnacentral:rRNA from 1 species
UACGUAGGGUGCGAGCGUUAAUCGGAAUUACUGGGCGUAAAGCGUGCGCGGGCGGUUGUGCAAGACAGAUGUGAAAUCCCCGGGCUCAACCUGGGAACUGCAUUUGUGACUGCACGGCUGGAGUGCGGCAGAGGGGGAUGGAAUUCCGCGUGUAGCAGUGAAAUGCGUAGAUAUGCGGAGGAACACCGAUGGCGAAGGCAAUCCCCUGGGCCUGCACUGACGCUCAUGCACGAAAGCGUGGGGAGCAAACAGG